ACGCACGCUGGCGGCGUGCUUAACACAUGCCAGUCGAACGGAAAGGCCCUGCUUUUGUGGGGAGCUCGAGUGGCGAACGGGUGAGUAACACGUGAGUAACCUGCCCUUGACUUUGGGAUAACUUCAGGAAACUGGGGCUAAUACCGGAUAGGAGCUCCUGCUGCAUGGCGGGGGUUGGAAAGUUUCGGCGGUUGGGGAUGGACUCGCGGCUUAUCAGCUUGUUGGUGGGGUAGUGGCUUACCAAGGCUUUGACGGGUAGCCGGCCUGAGAGGGUGACCGGCCACAUUGGGACUGAGAUACGGCCCAGACUCCUACGGGAGGCAGCAGUGGGGAAUAUUGCACAAUGGGCGGAAGCCUGAUGCAGCAACGCCGCGUGCGGGAUGACGGCCUUCGGGUUGUAAACCGCUUUCGCCUGUGACGAAGCGUGAGUGACGGUAAUGGGUAAAGAAGCACCGGCUAACUACGUG
rnacentral:rRNA from 1 species